ensembl:lncRNA
CAACAUCAAGACUCAUGGAGCUCGUCAGAAACAUCCUCCCAUGUCAGACUGCUAAGGCAGAAAUGUGUGCUGUCUCCUGUGGGACAUCUCAAGACAACGGACUCUUUUUAGGGCAUGACGAUGAUGUGGGAAGUGACCACAGUGUACGAGACUCCUCCAUUCGACUCCUUUGCCGCCGUCGUGCUCGUCCCUUCAGUGUGCGGUCUACGUCCAUGUGCUGCCGCGUCUCUCGUCCACCACAGACGAGCUCAUCAUUCCUCGUCCACCUCCGCAGGCCGUCAACCUCGAGCUGUAGUUGCCCCCAACGUGGAGGUUCGGCACGGUAGAAGAACCCCACAGCAGACACAGCUCACGACAGAAACAUUCAAUUAGGUGAAAAUGCCAAGAAAUGUUUUCAAAACAAAUGCGUGCGCAAACACACAUACGAACACACACACACACACACACGCGUGUGAAGACACACAAAUAUUGUGGGCGUGCAAUAUUCUGAAAGAACGC